rnacentral:rRNA from 1 species
CCUACGGGGGGCUGCAGUGGGGAAUAUUGGACAAUGGGCGAAAGCCUGAUCCAGCCAUGCCGCGUGUGUGAAGAAGGCCUUCGGGUUGUAAAGCACUUUCAGUGGGGAAGAAAGCCUUGGGGCUAAUACCCUCGAGGAAGGACAUCACCCACAGAAGAAGCACCGGCUAACUCCGUGCCAGCAGCCGCGGUAAUACGGAGGGUGCGAGCGUUAAUCGGAAUUACUGGGCGUAAAGCGCGCGUAGGCGGUCUGAUAAGCCGGUUGUGAAAGCCCUGGGCUCAACCUGGGAACGGCAUCCGGAACUGUCAGGCUAGAGUGCAGGAGAGGAAGGUAGAAUUCCCGGUGUAGCGGUGAAAUGCGUAGAGAUCGGGAGGAAUACCAGUGGCGAAGGCGGCCUUCUGGACUGACACUGACGCUGAGGUGCGAAAGCGUGGGUAGCAAACAGGAUUAGAUACCCCGGUAGUC